CACACACAUACACACACACACUGUGUCCAUGUCUCAGUCUAUGACCUCAGCCGUGUCACCUUUCAGAAGCUGGAUGAUCUAUGGAUUCACAUAGGCUGUCAAAAGAGGCAAAGGAAGGGAAAGGUGUAGAGGAAGGGAGGCUAUUUACAGACCUGGAGUAAAAAGACAACAACAUGCAGACACAAAAGUAGAUAAGAAGAACUGCUACACUGAGAGGCUUUCUGUCUCUCUGUCCUUUCUCCUUUUCUCCUCAUCUUUUUCCUGCUCUGCUGCUGUGAUUGCCUGUCUCCUCGUGGCCUGGUGCCCAGCCACCACUGGGUAGCAUUCCUCACCCCGAGCCAAUGGGAAAAGAGAGGGAUUGGAGGGGGGAGAAGAGAAGAAGGACAAAUGGAAGGAAUGAGAGAAAGAACCAUAGCGGGUCUCCUUAUAUAGAGUUUGAUGUUAUAUGUCAGCUCCGCUCCGUUGUGACCGCGCUUAGCAGGCAAUGAGCAACUUCUUUUCCAAAUUGUUUGUUGUUUUCCAGCUUUUCGACUGUGCCCGCUGGUCGUAAACCUUCCUUUUCAGCCCUUCUGUUUAUAGUCACAUCCACUCACUCUGCUCAUUGCACCGCUCGUAACAACACUCAAACUCAGGCCACAAGAUACCCACACAGUUUGACCACGCAAGGGAUUACUAAAAUACACACAGCCUCUCUUUUUUCUUUUUUUUUUCACAGUGGGAAAUAGAAAUGCCAUAUC